rnacentral:tRNA from 1 species
GCCUCUGUAGCUCAGUUGGUUGGAGUGCUGCACCAGAAUCGUAGGGCCGUAGGCUCAAUUCCUACCAGAGGAC